rnacentral:rRNA from 1 species
CCUUACGGCCAUACCACCCUGUCUGCGCCCGAUCUUGGAACCUAAGCAGGGUCGAGCCUGGUUAGUACUUGGAUAGGAGACUGCCUGGGAAUACCAGGUGCUGUAAGCU